CGUUAGGCUUGACCGGGAUGCUUGGCGUAUCCUUCUAUACCGAAACCGUCAACACGCGGAGGUGACAGCGGGGGGCGGCAUCUUGGAAGCCUCAAGCUCACAAAGUGACUAUGAGAUCCUGUCUUGCGGGAUCGGAGUCUGUGUUCGGGACGGCCGGAGGGUCGUUCGGGUCACACUCAUCGGGGGAACCGGGCCAGGCCCUGACGGGAGCAGCCUUACCUUGAACUACCGAAGUUCGCAGGGUAGCGGGGUCGAGAAGCGAUGUGUUAAACUUGAGGUGGAAGAGGUGUCCACCCCCGUGGCCUAGCA
rnacentral:SRP_RNA from 1 species